rnacentral:rRNA from 1 species
UGGGGGAUCUUGGACAAUGGGGGCAACCCUGAUCCAGCCAUGCCGCGUGAGUGAUGAAGGCCCUAGGGUCGUAAAGCUCUUUCGCCUGGGAAGAUAAUGACGGUACCAGGUGAAGAAACCCCGGCUAACUCCGUGCCAGCAGCCGCGGUAAUACGGAGGGGGUUAGCGUUGUUCGGAAUUACUGGGCGUAAAGCGCGCGUAGGCGGAUUGUUAAGUCGGGGGUGAAAUCCCGGGGCUCAACCCCGGAACUGCCUUCGAUACUGGCAGUCUUGAGGACGAGAGAGGUGAGUGGAAGACCGAGUGUAGAGGUGAAAUUCGUAGAUAUUCGGUGGAACACCAGUGGCGAAGGCGGCUCACUGGCUCGAUUCUGACGCUGAGGUGCGAAAGUGUGGGGAGCAAACAGGAUUAGAUACCCCCGUAGUCC